rnacentral:rRNA from 1 species
AACGAACGCUGGCGGCAGGCUUAACACAUGCAAGUCGAGCGCCCCGCAAGGGGAGCGGCAGACGGGUGAGUAACGCGUGGGGACCUACCUGAAGGUACGGAACAACUCCGGGAAACUGGAGCUAAUACCGUAUGUGCCCGAGAGGGGAAAGAUUUAUCGCCUUCAGAUGGGCCCGCGUCAGAUUAGCUAGUUGGUGAGGUAACGGCUCACCAAGGCGACGAUCUGUAGCUGGUCUGAGAGGAUGAUCAGCCACACUGGGACUGAGACACGGCCCAGACUCCUACGGGAGGCAGCAGUGGGGAAUAUUGGACAAUGGGCGCAAGCCUGAUCCAGCCAUGCCGCGUGAGUGAUGACGGCCUUAGGGUUGUAAAGCUCUUUCGACGGGGACGAUAAUGACGGUACCCGUAGAAGAAGCCCCGGCUAACUUCGUGCCAGCAGCCGCCGUAACAC